rnacentral:rRNA from 1 species
GAACUUAGCAGAGAUGCUUUGGUGCCUUCGGGAACUCUGAGACAGGUGCUGCAUGGCUGUCGUCAGCUCGUGUUGUGAAAUGUUGGGUUAAGUCCCGCAACGAGCGCAACCCUUUAUCCUUUGUUGCCAGCGGUCCGGCCGGGAACUCAAAGGAGACUGCCAGUGAUAAACUGGAGGAAGGUGGGGAUGACGUCAAGUCAUCAUGGCCCUUACGAGUAGGGCUACACACGUGCUACAAUGGCGCAUACAAAGAGAAGCGACCUCGCGAGAGCAAGCGGACCUCAUAAAGUGCGUCGUAGUCCGGAUUGGAGUCUGCAACUCGACUCCAUGAAGUCGGAAUCGCUAGUAAUCGUGGAUCAGAAUGCCACGGUGAAUACGUUCCCGGGCCUUGUACACACCGCCCGUCACACCAUGGGAGUGGGUUGCAAAAGAAGUAGGUAGCUUAACCUUCGGGAGGGCGCUUACCACUUUGUGAUUCAUGACUGGGGUGAAGUCGUAACAAGGUAAGCGUAGUGCU